GACAGAGGGUGCAAGCGUUGUUCGGAAUCAUUGGGCGUAAAGGGCGCGUAGGCGGUUUUAUAAGUCGGAUGUGAAAUCCCAGGGCUCAACCGUGGAAGUGCAUCCGAAACUGUAUAACUUGAAUCCCAGAGAGGGCGGUGGAAUUCCCAGUGUAGAGGUGAAAUUCGUAGAUAUUGGGAGGAACACCAGUGGCGAAGGCGGCCGCCUGAAUGGAGAUUGACGCUGAGGCGCGAGAGCGUGGGGAGCAAACAGG
rnacentral:rRNA from 1 species